rfam:Pongo abelii chromosome 13.
GUCCAAGGCCAUACCAUGCUGAACGCACUCAAUCUCACCUGAUCUUGGAAGCUAAGGAGGGUUGGGCCUGGUUAGUACUUGGAUGGGAGAUAGUGCCAAGUUUUACC